rnacentral:lncRNA from 1 species
CUCCAUUAUAGCCCAUGGGUAGGACCUGACCCAGGCCAAGGGCAAUCUACUGUCAUUACAAAAGGCCUUCAAUACACAGAGGAAGCAUCUGUAAGAAAAUAUGGUGCAUUAAGAGACCUAUUUGGAAGGGCAGAUUGAUUAGCGGGAAUUUAUAAAAAUCUGUCUUCCAGCAUGUUUGCACCAAGGUAUUGCACAGAUAUUUAUCUGGGUUUCCAUAAACUGGGCAUAAAGGACAAAAUUCUCUUCUUGAGAUUGUGCAGGACCUCAGAGACCUAUAAUGUAAUGGGGAGCCCUGAUGAUUUGUGCAGACAGCAGCAUGCAGGCACAGAUGCUGCCAGAGCAAGAGAGAAAAGCAAUAAAAGCUUGAGGCAACUUUCCUGAGAAAAUGCACAACUUCAGUUGUCUCCACUACAAAGUGUGAAGCCUCAGUAUCCCAGCCUGCUAUAUCAUAAUGUACAAAAGAAGGUAGGAGGUGACCUGGAUCAGACAAAGGGUCUAUUGAGGUCAGCAUGUCUCAGCAACAACAGCAAGCAGCAGAGGUCUAGGAAAACAAGAGCAGAGCAAAUACAAACUGUGUCUGACAAGGUUUCCCAGCGUACAAUAUAUCCAUGUCAUAGGUAACUUGUGGAAGAAGACACAUACUACCAACUCAUAAUUUCCUGUGCUGAACUGCUCCCUGUCCUAUCUGCUUUCCAUUUCCAAACCAGUGCUGUCCUCCUUUCUGUUCUCAUCACUGAGGAUACAGACUUUCUGUGACUUUUGCUAAAAAUAAUGCCAUGCUCAGCUGAUCAUCUGCACCCUUAACUCUUCCCUAACUUCAGUUUAAAAAGC